UCGUGGGGGCGGAGAUUGGCGAAACGAAACUGACGAAACCAAACGAAACCCCGAAUCAUGCCCCGAAGUGACGAUUACGUCAUAACCGGUGCACACACGUGGUGUCAUCAUGUUGUGUGUUUGUGUUGCUUGGCUGUGUUUGUGCUUGUUUCGCCGCUUUGCCAGGCUUUGCCCCCUUUCGUGCUUGAACACUUGAAACGCGCUUUAUUGCAUGUGUUUCGUUUGCUUGCCGAUCGACCGCGAUACGUUCUGUGCUUUUGGUUUUGUGGUGCUUUCGCGCCUCUGUGAAUGUGGCAGCAAUGCGUGUGACCAGCCUGUGCCUACGGAGCCCAAUUGGCCCAAUGCGCUGAGCAAUUGUGAACCAGUCAAGGACAGCAAGCGAAAGCAGCUGUGGCGGCUUUACACGCAGGAUGGGCAACUCGCAAAAAAUAAAAAUCGUUCACAAAUUAAGCUUCUGCGUCUGCGCUGCCUCAUGCGCGGCUGUGCGUUUUUGAAACCGGCUUUUAGCUACGUUUAGUAGAACCGCAGCUGUCGGGGCAUGUAUUCGGCUUUGCCUUUUUAGCGUCUUCCGCUUGUGAUGGAGUGCGGCACACUUUACUUGAUUUGACUCUGUUGUGCUCUUAGCGGAGUCGAGACGUACGUAUUACUACGCGCUUUUAAGUGAAACUACUUCGUAAUAUCGAGCGAAAAUGGAAGAAGGUAGCAGAGAACCGACUCAUGGACGAUUGCAACGCAUUCUGGGAUGGCUGUCGAUACCUGCGAGGCAUGUUUUUGUCCUCCUGGGCUUUUUAGCCCUCGUGAAUGUCUACACUCUAAGAGUGAGCCUUAGCGUGGCCAUCGUGGCGAUGGUGAAGCAUCCUGCUGAUGCGGUGACCCCUACAAACGGAACAAGCUUCGUCAAUUACACCCAGUGCCAACCAGAGGAUUAUGGUCGUUUAAGCACUUCUGGUGCUUUAGCAGAGCAGCAUCCUGGUCAGGCAGAGCGCUUUGACUGGGACGCUCAGGUGCAAGGCCUGGUGCUGGGCUCCUUCUUCUACGGCUACAUAUUGACAGUGUUGCCCGGAGGUGUGCUGGCAGAGCAGUUCGGGCCAAAGUGGCUCAUUGGCCUCGGUGUCGUCAUCACCAGCCUGCUGUCGAUGGUGCUGCCAGCAGCCGCGCAUGCGCACUACAUAAUAGUGGUUGUUAUCCGCAUACUUCAGGGUCUUGCAGAGGGGCUUGUAUUCCCUGCCAUGCACACCAUGAUUGCGUUGUGGACGCCAAUCACAUCUCGGAGCCGCGUUGUCUCGAUCGUCCAAUCCGGUUCUGAUGUUGGUGCUGUGGUUGCGAUGAUGGCAUCUGGUGUCCUAGCUGAAUCAACAUUUCUCGGUGGAUGGCCUUCCAUUUUUUAUGUCUUUGGUUUUGCAGGUAUUGUCUGGUUCGUAGCCUGGAGUUUACUAGCAUUUGACACACCCAGCCAGCACCCCAGAAUCUCAAGUGAAGAACUGGAGUUCAUAAUUGCGAACCAGGGAAAUGAACAGGCACAACUGAAGCGAAAGGUUCCGUGGCUCAAGGUAUUGCUGUCCAUCCCUGUUUGGUCCAGUGUCCUCUCCCACUUUGGUUUCAACUGGAUUCACUACAUCUUUCUCUCUGAAAUGCCCACGUACCUGACGUCCGUGCUGCAUUACAGCCUCGGAGCAAAUGGAAUGCUUUCUUCCGUCCCAUACGUCCUUGGUGCCUUCCUGUGCUGCGUUGCCAGCGUGGCAUCCGAUUUCCUUAGAAAACGUGGCUCCAUGUCCAUCACAAACAACAGGAAGCUCUUCAACACCUUAGGUGGGAUGGUCCCAGGCCUCUUUUUGCUGCUGGUGCCCUUGGCUGGCUGCAAUGGUUUUUGGAACAUGGUGCUGCUUGCCGUGGCAGGUGGCUUUCAUGGAAUGGGACACAGCGGUUUUAUGGCUGCUUUUGUUGACCUCGCACCAGACUUUGCAGGUUGUUCUAACGCUCGCCCAACAACAAGUUGCUCAGUAUCACAUAAGCUAAUGAAUUUCACCUCGAUCUAAAUAUGAAGCUGAAAGAUUACAAGAUUGACCUCAUCCCUUGCAAGAAAUAAAGGGUGCGAGUGAGCGAACUUUUCUAAUGGCUGCUUUUUUCGGGAGAGGUACCCUUCUGGGAAUAUCCAAUGUCAUCGCCAGCAUUCCGGGAUUUGCCAUACCAGCCAUGCUUGGUGAACUGCUGAAGGAACAGACUCCCCUCGAGGCAUGGGCACUGUUUUACUACAUAGGCAGUGCAAUAGGCAUUAUCACAGCCCUGGAGUUUAUCUUGCUUGGUUCUGCAGAACUUCAGAGUUGGGGAGUUGACAACAAGUUCAAAGUCGUUGCCAAAUACGGCACUGCUCAAGGUUGCCA
rnacentral:misc_RNA from 1 species